UACGAAGGGGGCUAGCGUUGCUCGGAAUCACUGGGCGUAAAGCGCACGUAGGCGGCUUUCUAAGUCAGGGGUGAAAUCCUGGAGCUCAACUCCAGAACUGCCUUUGAUACUGGGAAGCUCGAGUCCGGAAGAGGUGAGUGGAACUGCGAGUGUAGAGGUGAAAUUCGUAGAUAUUCGCAAGAACACCAGUGGCGAAGGCGGCUCACUGGCCCGGUACUGACGCUGAGACGCGAAAGCGUGGGGAGCGAACAGG
rnacentral:rRNA from 1 species